rnacentral:ncRNA from 1 species
UGAAAUAUCAUGACGGAGACAUACUAAUCGCAAGAAAAUCCUCAGAGAGCUGAUGGUUGGUGUAAAUCAGUGAUUUCUACGAUACUAGUUCCACUCCUGAAUAGAUAGGCUGAACAAUGCUCAGUAGGUCUAUCCGUUGCAUGCACGUUACGCAUAUAGCUAAGACUGCAAGAAUGCUUUUUCUAGCAGUGAUUAAGGGUGGUACCGCGAAAGCCAAUGUUGUUGAUUCAGCCUUUCGCCCCUUAC